rnacentral:misc_RNA from 1 species
CGUAUAAACCCCACAACUGAUUC